rnacentral:tRNA from 1 species
UGCCUGGUAGUCUAGUGGCUAAGACUCUACGCUCCCAAAGCAGGGGCCCAGGUUCGAUCCCUGGCCAGGGAA